rnacentral:lncRNA from 1 species
CACAGCUCCCCCUCGUGGCGGAAGGGUGUUCACGCAUGCGCACUUCCACGCUUGGCAAGGUAGAGCGUUUGUGCAUGUGUACAACCUCCCCUCAACCUCAGCCGGGGAGGUUGUUUGUGCAUGCACCCCACACCCUUCGGUGCAGAAGGGAGUUCACACAUGCCCGGAACAACCUCUGGGUGAAAGAGGAUGUUUGGAAACGCGGCCCACACCAUUUGGCCCAGGCAGUUUUAGGCUUCUGACUUGCCCCCCAUUGGUGCGUGAGUGGCUCUCCCAUGCAGAGCGCCACCGCUCGGGGAGGGAAAAGUGAUGUCACUAUGAAAUGUGAUUUUUCAUGAAACGUUCUUUUUACUUUCACAGCUGAAGAAACACGAAUCUUUUUUUUUUAUUUUUUAUAUAUGAAAUUUAUUGUCAAAUUGGUUUCCAUACAACACCCAGUGCUCAUCCCAAAAGGUGCCCUCUUCAAUACCCAACACGAAUCUUUGAAGAUGAAGAAACACCUGUCUCUUAAGUGGUGCACAAAUGGUAAUUUGUACCUGGAGUGGCCUCAGGAAGCUGCCUCAAGAUGGGACUCUGGGACUGGACUGCUCUUCUCUCUGGUGGACAUACAGAUAACUUCCUUGUGGGCAGAAGUGGAUACUGGUCGUUGGAAGCAAGAGGUGAUUUCACACUUGCUCACGUUACCACCAGUGCUGGUACAGAGUGAUGGAGGACAGCAUGCUGGAGGAUUGCGGGUGGAGUCGUCACUGUGGCCAUGGGGAGGGGGCAGUUACAGAGAUUGUUUGGGGUCAGUUUUGGGUAUGUGAGGUAUACACAGGAAAUAGGAGAGAUUGAAAGGAAGGGCAAAACAUCAGAAAAUCUAUGGCCUCAUAAGGGGAGUAUGAGGGGGCCUCAUAAGGGGAGUAUUGUGUUUUGUUGCCAAGAGAAGCAGCUCCCCCGGACCCCCGUUGGAGGGAAACAGUCUUACCCCACCCCCAGAACCCCUCGAGAAAAGGUUUCAAUGGCUUCACCUAAGACAAUACCGUCGUGACAGAGAGCAGUGAUCUUCAGGCUCCACGUCUACCAUCCGUGUUUACUUCCUGGAAGAUAACGGGAUGCCAGCGAACUCCAAAUGGGGGUACAGGAUCAGGUCCACACAGGAUCAGGUGCUCAUGCAGGGAGUGGCAGGGCAUUACCACUUCGCACUGGUAGGAGACUGGGGAUGGGAGUGGAUUCAAAGAGUAUUAAACCAAGGAGGGUGACAUAGGAUAGGCCAGACAUGGUACAGGGUUCCUCCUGCAGGAAAUGUGAUUUAAUGUGUUGCCUUGGCAACUGGGAACGGUCGUAAUAAUGACUCAAUGGCUGCCUUCAGUCAACUAGGUUGAAAUGCCAGAGCUUCCCUGACUUUCUCAGGGAAGGAAGACUCCAAGGUCCGAGGGAGAUGGGAAUGGGGGCCUGUUGUGUGCACACCUGCUCUUUUCCCAUAAACUUGAUGGCUUAUGAGAACAAAAUCAUGUUCUCUCACGGUUCUGGAGGCCAGGAACCCAAAAUUCACUUAACUGGGCUGAGACUAAGGUGUCAGCAGAGCUGUACUCCCUCUGGAGACCCCAGGGCUCCAGGGGACAGUGUAUCCCUUUCUCUGGUAGCUCCCGGUGGCCACCAACCUCCCUUGGCUUGUGUCCACAUCACCCUAGUCUGUCUCCAUGGACACAGUGCCUCCUCUUUUGUCAAGUCUCCCUUUGCUUCUCUAAGGGUGCUCAUGAUUCCAUGUAGGGCUCACUCGGAAAACCCAGGACUCAAGAUCCUUAACUAGAUCCCAUUGAUGGG